AUAUCCCCUAGAAAUCUCCAGACACUCCCUAGAAACAUCUCAAAAGCAAUUUUAUUUUUUUGUCUCCUUAAAACAGAAUUUUUACUUUGAUUUUAAUUGUGAAAUAUCAGCUAGUCCUUUUGCAAAAUUGAAGUUCAGUCUCUCAAUUGACUAGCCACCAUGACGUCACGCAAUCUCCAAAGCCGUCAUCCUACCAAUCGUAUUGGCCAAACUGUUUGAUUUAGCCUAGCUAAAAAGAGUCGUGUGUUUCGUGUGCUCCUGUCUACAACUCCCUGAAGUCUCCUCGCGGAAUUAUCAGCAUUUCAUCAAAAUUUCACUUGAAAAUCAUCCGACGAGUGCAAUUAACUGAUCAACUUCAUCAUGACAUCAACUGGAACCUUCCAGGGAAUGGCCGAGGGGCGUAACUCCAGCAAUCACUCACGACAAUUGGAGAUAGAUCAGCGGUUGGAUUUCUCCUCAGUUGGCGGCGAUUCAUGAUUUGGUUGUUUUAUGGUAGAUUGGAAAGGCGGGAGUCAUUGAAAAUGAAGAUGAAAAUUGAGCAGACUCAUCGAUUCAUUGAAAUGUGGGCGUUCACGCGUGACUUAACGGCUCGGUAAGGCGAGAGAAAUAUUUCGAUUCUAUCACCUCGAAGCCACUGGCCCAAUCACUCAUUGGAUUUGAUGGAAACUAAUGCAAACGGCCGAUUCAUUUUCACCUUUUCACCGCUUCACGCGUGAACUUUCUAUUCUGAUUACAAUGAGGUUCGCUGGAUUAAUUCGUGAUUGGAAUGAAGGUGAAGGAGGUGAAGCGAUUCAACGUUAUACUACUGAUUUUUCAUUAUGUCAUUAUUUUA